AUGACGAGGGGGUUGGGAGCAGGGGACGAGCUGCUGUUCAGGGGCACCAUCUCCCGGAAAUGGACCUCUCUGCUCUGCCUCAGCAGCUUCUGCGUCGGCCUCAUCUUCACCAACAGGAUGUGGACCGUCCCGGAAUCCAAAGAGAUCAUCAGGAGGUCGGCCCUCGAAUUGGACAGAAUGAAUCUCGUCUCUUCUAGUGAUUGUGCGCUCAAAACUAUUAAUAACGAGCCAAAAGACGAUUUUGGGCAGGUCCAAAGAACUGAAGAUGCUAUACAGACGCUGGACAAAACAAUAUCGAACCUAGAAAUGGAGCUAGCCUCGGCCAAGGCGACGCAGGACUCUAUCCUCAACGGCGGUGUACCGUCGUCGGAACCGACGGCGAAACGGAAGUACUUCAUGGUCAUCGGCAUCAACACCGCGUUCAGCAGCCGGAAGCGGCGAGAUUCAGUUCGUGCCACAUGGAUGCCUCAAGGGGAGAAAAGAAGGAAGAUGGAAGAGGAGAAGGGCAUCAUUGUCCGUUUCGUCAUAGGUCACAGUGCAACAUCUGGUGGGAUACUGGAUAGAGCAAUUGACGCAGAAGACAGAGAGCAUGGCGACUUCUUGAGGCUGGACCACGUUGAAGGGUACCUGGAGCUGGCAGCAAAGACGAAAUCCUACUUCGCCAAAGCCGUGUCCACGUGGGAUGCAGAGUACUUCGUCAAGGUGGACGAUGAUGUGCAUGUAAACAUAGCAACUCUUGGAGGCAUAUUGGCCAGACAUCGUUCCAAGCCCCGAGCUUACAUCGGCUGCAUGAAAUCAGGCCCGGUCCUCGCUCAGGAGGGUGUCAAAUACCAUGAGCCCGAGUACUGGAAAUUCGGCGAAUGGGGAAACAAGUACUUCCGGCACGCGAGCGGUCAGCUGUACGCCAUCUCCAAGGAUCUGGCCUCCUACAUAUCAAUCAACCAGCAUGUUCUCCACAAAUAUGCCAACGAGGACGUGUCCAUAGGGGCAUGGUUCAUCGGAGUAGACGCCGAGCACGUCGAUGAUCGCCGGCUCUGUUGCGGCACGCAUCCAGAAUGUGAGCGGAAGGCUCAGGCGGGAAACGUAUGCGCCGCGUCGUUCGACUGGAGCUGCAGCGGCAUCUGCAAGUCGGCGGAUCGGAUCAAGGAGGUCCAUCGGCGCUGCGGCGAGAGUGCGAACGCCAUCUGGAACGCAACCUUCUAA
rnacentral:rRNA from 1 species